GUAAAUCUAAAAGAGCAAGAUGUAUUAACUCUAAAAUGCUUCAGUAGCAGUUGCUUUUUGGAUAAAUGAUCUUUUACCAUGUAAUAAGUGUCUGUGGUGGGCUGCAGGAGCUUAUCUUAAUGAAUCCCUCAAACUGUGUACCAACGGACAGGAAUGAGAGUCAGAACCUUGAAUCGUACCUGCUUCCCCAUGAGCCAGUAUAAAGUGGCACAUGUGCUUAACUGUGUUAUAUUAAACUCUCAAGGCCUUUCUGUUUUCAGUUGAUGGAAAAGAUUGUGAGGAUUGUCAUGGACACUAAAUAGUUGGUCUUAAUUUUUAGAAACAUUUAUUAUCUAUAGUACCGUAACAUUUUCAUGAAGAGUAAGUUCACACUUUAAUAUUCAUGAGGUUGAAAACAGUGCUACUUGUGCCAUGCAAAACAAAGUGAGGGCUUUUGAAAAAGCUGCUCUAGAUGCAAUUCUCAGCGGCUUCCGUAUUUCAGUACUUAGCACAUUGCCUUCACGUUAUUAGCUCUGAUGAAGCACCACUGGCAGUCUGUUAAACCCUUGAUGGGUCAGUGCUUUUAAAACACUCCUGGUGAAAAGCUGUAAAGGUUAAGUUUUACUUCCCUUUGUUACUCUAUCAAGUCCCAGCAUCCACAGUCUGAGUUCCAGGUCUACGUGUUGCCUCAUUAUUGCUUUGAUAAAUCGUUGUCAGAGUUACGUAUCUACAGUGCAAACAAUCCCAUGAAUCUGCAUUCGGUACCUGACCUUGUCCUUUCAGGGAUGUGUCCUGAAGACCCACCUGUGCUGUGUGCACAGUACAGCUGCAUACUGGGGCGCUCUGAAUAUAAGUGGCAUGUUUUAUCCUACACUUAGAUGAGAAGCUUUACGUUUGCAUUCAGAAUGAGCGUAAAGAAUAAUCUUGUGGCAUAUCAUUCACAUUGAACAUAGGCCUGGUUUCCUGAAAUUUAAAAACAGGAAAAACAAGUUUCACACUCCCACAAAUAAUAAAUGUUUAACCAGAGAGUGUCUUUGGAUUUCGGUGCCAUUUAUGAAUGUAGGUACAAUAAUGUGCUUUUAAAAUACUUAUUCUUUCUAAAUUUUGUCACAAGGCUUUUUAAAAAAAAUUCUGUGGUUCAGACCUCUCUUUUCACUCUCAAGCAUGUAUUCGACACCACCAUUUGGUCUGUUAGCCCGCAAGUCCAUGGAAGAGGAGAGAACAGCGGAGGCUCCGUGUGGCUAGUGGAAACCAGAUUCCUAAUUUACUCUGGAAAAUAGCCCCAGCUCAGUUCUAAAUCCCGUCACCUUCUCUUUAUGCAUCCAAGCUU